CAGGGGGGAAAUGGCGGGAAAAGGCAGGGGGAUGGCGGGAAAAGGGAGGAUGGCGGGGAAAAGGGGGGAAAUGGCGGGAAAAAUGGGGGAUAUGGCGGGAAAAGUGGGAGGGAGGAAGAGGAGGCGGAGAGGAAGAAAUUCGGGGGGAAAAAUGAGGAAAAAAUGGGGAAAAAUGGGGAAAAAAGGGGGAAAAUUGAGAGUGAGGAAGAUGAGGAGGAAGAGGAAGGGGAGAGGGGGAAAAUUGGGGUGAGUAAAGGGAAAAUUGGGGAAAAAUCUGGGAAAUUUGGGAAAACUGAGGAGGAAAAAGGGGGAAAAUGGGAAAAAUUGGGGGGGAAAAGGAGGAAAAUUGAGAGUGAGGAGGAGGAAGAGGAGGAGGAAGAGCCAGACCGAAAAAACCGGAAAAAAACGGGGAAAAAUGAGGAAAAAAGGCAAAAAAUGACCCAAAAAUUGGGCAAAAAAUCGAAAUUUGAGAGCGAGGAAGAGGAGGAGGAAGAUGAGGAGGAAGAAGCAAGCAGGAAAAAUGGGAAAAAGCCGGGAAAAUUUGAGGGAAAAAGGCAAAAAGUGACCCAAAAAUUGGCCAAAAAAUCGAAAUUUGAGAGUGAGGAAGAGGAGGAUGAAGAAGAGGAGGAAGAGGAAGAUCCACGGAAGAAAAAUGGGAAAAAAAUGGGAAAAAUCGAGAAAAAAACACCAAAAAUGACCCAAAAAUCGACCAAAAAAUUGAAAUUUGAGAGCGAGGAAGAGGAGGAGGAAGAAAAAACCUCCAAAAUGGCCCAAAAAUCCCCGAAAUUGCCCCAAAAAUCGUCGGCGUCGGGUUCGGAGGAUUCCGAGGAUUUGCCGCUGGCGAAAUGGGCGGAAAAACGGCGAAAACGGGAGCGGGAGGAAGAGCGGGGAGGGAGGAAGAGGAAGAGGAAGGAGGAGGAGGAGGAGACCUGGUGGAAGCCCUGGAAGGUGAAAAUUUGGGGGAAAUUUGGGGGAUUUGGGGAAAAUUUGGGUUUUUUUAGGGGAAAAUUGGGAAAAAAUUGGGAAAAAAUUGGAUUUUUUGGGGGAAAAUUGAGGGGAAAAAAUGGGGUUUUUGGGGGGAGUUUGGGAAAAAUUUGGGAAAAAUUUGGAUUUUUUUGGGGGGGAAAUGUGGGGAAAUUGGGAUUUUUGGGGGGAAAUUUGGGGUUUUUGGGAAAAAUGUGGGGAAAUUUGGGGUUUUUGGGGGGAAAUUUGGGGUUUUUUGGGAAAAAUGUGGGGAAAUUGGGAUUUUUGGGGGAAAAUUUGGGUUUUUUUGGGGAAAAAUGUGGAAAAUCGGGAUUUUUUUGGGGGGGAAAUGGGGAAAUUGGGAUUUUUGGGGAUAAUUGGAGGGAAUUUGGGUUUCUUUGGGAAAACUUGGGGAAAAUAGGGAUUUUUGGGUCAAUUUGGGGGGAAAUUGGGAUUUUUGGGGAGUUUUGGGGAAAAUUUGGGGAUUUUGGAAAAAAAAUUGGAUUUUUUGGGGAAAAAAUGUGGGGAAAUUGUGGAUUUUGGGGGGAAAAUUGGAUGGAAUGUGGGGUUUUUUGGGAAGAUUUGGGGGGGGUUGGGAAAAAUGAGAAAAAAAUUGGGGGUUUUUGGGAAAUUUGGGUUUUUCUCUGGGGGAAAUUGGGAAAAAUUUGGAAAAAAAUGGGGUUUUUGGGGGAAAUUUGGGAAAAUUUUGGGGGGAUUUUGGGAAAAAUUUAGAUUUUUU
ensembl:lncRNA